rnacentral:lncRNA from 1 species
GAAUGCUGCGGCACUCGGGUUAACAGAUGGUAGUGAGCUGUCUGAACUACUUAAAAUUUUCAGGUAAAAGGGCAGCAAGCAUUCUUAAACUGCUGAGCGGCCCUCUAGGUGUUCUUUGCUGGGGCAGGGGAGUUAGCAGGGAGGAAGUGGAGAGAACUGGGAGAGUUGAGACCCUCCUUCUGAGCGUUAAGCUGCAUGUAGAUAAUAUCUGCAGGUGUGGCACAAUUGAAAAGGCAGUGGCUUUCAGGCUAGUCACUGCACGGACUAGUAAGGCAGCUCUCUUGCUCCCAGCACCGUGCAUCUGAUUCUCCGUUCUCAGGGACCACCUGACAUGGUUAAACAGCCCUGGCUUAACGUUCCAGACACUGCUGCCAAUACUUGCGGCUGUUAGUUCCUGAUUUCUGCUUAAGAUCACUCAGAAGAGGAUCAGCUGCUGAUCAUACGUCUGACUCAGCUAUAUCUCAUUGCUAUGGCUCUUGGCCACAAGAUAUCUGACUCUGUGUCACCAGCCUAACAGAAGAUCACAUUGUGCUGCCAAAGCACAGAACACACCCAGCUUCUUGGAUUUCAUCUGUCUUGCAUUUCCUUAUGUAUCAGUUACAGGAAAAGCAGCAACUGAAAUACAGCUCUCAAAUGCUCUGGAUGGCUUCUGUAACAAGUGCCCAGACCUUGGCACAACUGACUCCAUGAUUGAAGUACCAUUCAGGCCAUUAAACUCAGCACAUAGAUGGUACCACCUGCCAAAAUGAAAACAAAGACCUGAUCCAUCAAAGUCCAUAGUGAUGGAAAUGCCCCUAAAUGACUAACCUUGCUCUUUUUUACUUCUUUAAUUCUGCUUCUGACUAAAUGUGCUUGUUAACUGAAGUGUGUCAACCCGGGAUUUUUUUUUUUUCAUAAAGGCUUGGUGGUACACUGGGAUCCUGAAUACCAAGUAUGCUCUCCAGCCAGCUGAUAAAGAUUUCUAUUGGCUUAAAUUUUAA